UACAGAGGCCUCGAGCGUUAGGCGGAAUCACUGGGCUUAAAGCGUGUGUAGGCGGACUUCUAAGUACCUUGUGAAAUCCCACGGCUUACCCGUGGAACGGCUGGGUAUACUGGUCGUCUUGAGCCAUCUAGGGGCCACACGGAACAAAUGGUGGAGCGGUGAAAUGCGUAGAUAUCAUUUGGAACGCCAAUGGGUGAAAACAGGGUAGCUGGGGGAUGUGCUG
rnacentral:rRNA from 1 species